rnacentral:rRNA from 1 species
GGCGUAAAGAGCUCGUAGGCGGUCUGUCGCGUCGGCUGUGAAAUCCCGAGGCUUAACCCNCGGGUCUGCAGUCGAUACGGGCAAACUAGAGUGUUGCAGGGGAGACUGGAAUUCCUGGUGUAGCGGUGAAAUGCGCAGAUAUCAGGAGGAACACCGGUGGCGAAGGCGGGUCUCUGGGCAACAACUGACGCUGAGGAGCGAAAGCGUGGGGAGCGAACAGGAUUAGAUACCCUGGUAGUCCACGCCGUAAACGUUGGGCGCUAGGUGUGGGGGCCAUUCCACGGUCUCCGUGCCGCAGCUAACGCAUUAAGCGCCCCGCCUGGGGAGUACGGCCGCAAGGCUAAAACUCAAAGGAAUUGACGGGGGCCCGCACAAGCGGCGGAGCAUGUUGCUUAAUUCGAUGCAACGCGAAGAACCUUACCUAGGCUUGACAUGCACGGAAAUCUCGCAGAGAUGCGGGGUCCGUAAGGGCCGUGCACAGGUGGUGCAUGGUUGUCGUCAGCUCGUGUCGUGAGAUGUUGGGUUAAGUCCCGCAACGAGCGCAACCCUCGUUCCAUGUUGCCAGCACGUGAUGGUGGGGACUCAUGGGAGACUGCCGGGGUCAACUCGGAGGAAGGUGGGGAUGACGUCAAAUCAUCAUGCCCCUUAUGUCUAGGGCUGCAAACAUGCUACAAUGGCCGGUACAAAGGGCUGCGAUACCGCGAGGUGGAGCGAAUCCCAAAAAGCCGGUCUCAGUUCGGAUUGGGGUCUGCAACUCGACCCCAUGAAGUUGGAGUCGCUAGUAAUCGCAGAUCA